rnacentral:rRNA from 1 species
CACAGGUUGUGAACUCGAAGAGUAGGGCGGGACACGUGGUAUCCUGUCUGAAUAUGGGGGGACCAUCCUCCAAGGCUAAAUACUCCUGACUGACCGAUAGUGAACCAGUACCGUGAGGGAAAGGCGAAAAGAACCCCGGCGAGGGGAGUGAAAAAGAACCUGAAACCGUGUACGUACAAGCAGUGGGAGCACCUUCGUGGUGUGACUGCGUACCUUUUGUAUAAUGGGUCAGCGACUUAUAUUCUGUAGCAAGGUUAACCGUAUAGGGGAGCCGAAGGGAAACCGAGUCUUAACUGGGCGUUAAGUUGCAGGGUAUAGACCCGAAACCCGGUGAUCUAGCCAUGGGCAGGUUGAAGGUUGGGUAACACUAACUGGAGGACCGAACCGACUAAUGUUGAAAAAUUAGCGGAUGACUUGUGGCUGGGGGUGAAAGGCCAAUCAAACCGGGAGAUAGCUGGUUCUCCCCGAAAGCUAUUUAGGUAGCGCCUCGUGAACUCAUCUUCGGGGGUAGAGCACUGUUUCGGCUAGGGGGCCAUCCCGGCUUACCAACCCGAUGCAAACUACGAAUACCGAAGAAUGUUAUCACGGGAGACACACGGCGGGUGCUAACGUCCGUCGUGAAGAGGGAAACAACCCAGACCGCCAGCUAAGGUCCCAAAGUCAUGGUUAAGUGGGAAACGAUGUGGGAAGGCACAGACAGCCAGGAUGUUGGCUUAGAAGCAGCCAUCAUUUAAAGAAAGCGUAAUAGCUCACUGGUCGAGUCGGCCUGCGCGGAAGAUGUAACGGGGCUAAACCAUGCACCGAAGCUGCGGCAGCGACGCUUAUGCGUUGUUGGGUAGGGGAGCGUUCUGUAAGCCGUUGAAGGUGUGCUGUGAGGCAUGCUGGAGGUAUCAGAAGUGCGAAUGCUGACAUAAGUAACGAUAAAGCGGGUGAAAAGCCCGCUCGCCGGAAGACCAAGGGUUCCUGUCCAACGUUAAUCGGGGCAGGGUGAGUCGACCCCUAAGGCGAGGCCGAAAGGCGUAGUCGAUGGGAAACAGGUUAAUAUUCCUGUACUUGGUGUUACUGCGAAGGGGGGACGGAGAAGGCUAUGUUAGCCGGGCGACGGUUGUCCCGGUUUAAGCAUGUAGGCGGAGGUUCCAGGUAAAUCCGGUACCUUUUAACGCUGAGGUGUGAUGACGAGGCACUACGGUGCUGAAGUAACAAAUGCCCUGCUUCCAGGAAAAGCCUCUAAGCAUCAGGUAACACGAAAUCGUACCCCAAACCGACACAGGUGGUCAGGUAGAGAAUACCAAGGCGCUUGAGAGAACUCGGGUGAAGGAACUAGGCAAAAUGGUGCCGUAACUUCGGGAGAAGGCACGCUGAUAUGUAGGUGAAGCCCCUGCGGGUGGAGCUGAAAUCAGUCGAAGAUACCAGCUGGCUGCAACUGUUUAUUAAAAACACAGCACUGUGCAAACACGAAAGUGGACGUAUACGGUGUGACGCCUGCCCGGUGCCGGAAGGUUAAUUGAUGGGGUUAGCGGCAACGCGAAGCUCUUGAUCGAAGCCCCGGUAAACGGCGGCCGUAACUAUAACGGUCCUAAGGUAGCGAAAUUCCUUGUCGGGUAAGUUCCGACCUGCACGAAUGGCGUAAUGAUGGCCAGGCUGUCUCCACCCGAGACUCAGUGAAAUUGAACUCGCUGUGAAGAUGCAGUGUACCCGCGGCAAGACGGAAAGACCCCGUGAACCUUUACUAUAGCUUGACACUGAACACUGGUCCUUGAUGUGUAGGAUAGGUGGGAGGCUUUGAAGUGUGGACGCCAGUCUGCAUGGAGCCGUCCUUGAAAUACCACCCUUUAAUGGCUGGUGUUCUAACGUAGACCCGUAAUCCGGGUUGCGGACAGUGUCUGGUGGGUAGUUUGACUGGGGCGGUCUCCUCCCAAAGAGUAACGGAGGAGCACGAAGGUUAGCUAAUCCUGGUCGGACAUCAGGAGGUUAGUGCAAUGGCAUAAGCUAGCUUGACUGCGAGAGUGACGGCUCGAGCAGGUGCGAAAGCAGGUCAUAGUGAUCCGGUGGUUCUGAAUGGAAGGGCCAUCGCUCAACGGAUAAAAGGUACUCCGGGGAUAACAGGCUGAUACCGCCCAAGAGUUCAUAUCGACGGCGGUGUUUGGCACCUCGAUGUCGGCUCAUCACAUCCUGGGGCUGAAGUAGGUCCCAAGGGUAUGGCUGUUCGCCAUUUAAAGUGGUACGCGAGCUGGGUUUAGAACGUCGUGAGACAGUUCGGUCCCUAUCUGCCGUGGGCGCUGGAGAAUUGAGGGGGGCUGCUCCUAGUACGAGAGGACCGGAGUGGACGCAUCACUGGUGUUCGGGUUGUCAUGCCAAUGGCACUGCCCGGUAGCUAAAUGCGGAAAAGAUAAGUGCUGAAAGCAUCUAAGCACGAAACUUGCCCCGAGAUGAGUUCUCCCUGAGACUUUAAGUCUCCUGAAGGAACGUUGAAGACGACGACGUUGAUAGGUCGGGUGUGUAAGCGCAGCGAUGCGUUGAGCUAACCGAUACUAAUGAACCGUGAGGCUUAACCUU